rnacentral:snRNA from 1 species
AUCGCUUCUCGGCCUUUUGGCUAAGAUCAAGUGUAGUAUCUGUUCUUAUCAGUUUAAUAUACCCUAUGAUCCUGAUUUUAUUUUUUGAAACUUUUUGUGUGUUUAUCUAGUUUUGAGAGAGAAGGGGGCAGGGCAGAGAGCGAGGGAAAAUAGAGAAUCACC